rnacentral:ncRNA from 1 species
GAUAAUCCGAAGACGCAGGGUAGUAAGCACAUAAAGAUAGUCCAGAAAGUUGGCGGAUGAUGCGAGCCAACCUGUCGGUGUGCUGAACUCACUGCCGAGGAGCGGUCGUGAAGGAACUUUAGCGACUGACGGCUGACCGGCGUUAACGGUCCUAGAGCGGGCAGCGAUAGCUGCCAAGCAGGGUGGUACCGCGAAGUAUUUUCGUCCCUGGC